UGGGGAAUAUUGGACAAUGGGCGAAAGCCUGAUCCAGCCAUGCCGCGUGUGUGAAGAAGGUCUUCGGAUUGUAAAGCACUUUAAGUUGGGAGGAAGGGCAGUAAGUUAAUACCUUGCUGUUUUGACGUUACCGACAGAAUAAGCACCGGCUAACUCUGUG
rnacentral:rRNA from 2 species